rnacentral:rRNA from 1 species
UACGGAGGGAGCUAGCGUUGUUCGGAAUUACUGGGCGUAAAGCGCACGUAGGCGGCUUUGUAAGUUAGAGGUGAAAGCCCGGGGCUCAACUCCGGAACUGCCUUUAAGACUGCAUCGCUUGAAUCCAGGAGAGGUGAGUGGAAUUCCGAGUGUAGAGGUGAAAUUCGUAGAUAUUCGGAAGAACACCAGUGGCGAAGGCGGCUCACUGGACCGGCAUUGACGCUGAGGUGCGAAAGCGUGGGGAGCAAACAGG